CACUCCCGAAAGGGAAAUGCUAAUACCGCGUAAGACCACGCUCACUACGGUGAAAGUGGUUAAAGGUGCCUCAAAGCACCACCAGAGGACGAGCCUGCGUCCCAUCAGCUUGUUGGUAAGGUAAUGGCUUACCAAGGCGAAGACGGGUAGCUGGUCUGAGAGGAUGAUCAGCCACACUGGCACUGGAACACGGGCCAG
rnacentral:rRNA from 1 species